GGAAAACUUACCAGGUCCGGACAUAGUGAGGAUUGACAGAUUGAAGAUCUUUCUUGAUUCUAUGGGUGGUGCAUGGCCGUUCUUAGUUGGUGGAGUGAUUUGUCUGGUUAAUUCCGUUAACGAACGAGACCUCGACCUACUAAAUAGUUCGACAAAUUCUUCGGGAUUUGUGCAAACUUCUUAGAGGGACUAUCGGUGGUUAGCCGAUGGAAGUUCGAGGCAAUAA
rnacentral:rRNA from 1 species